AACCUGCCCUGUACAGGGGGAUAACACUUAGAAAUAGGUGCUAAUACCGCAUAAGCGCACAGUAUCGCAUGAUACAGUGUGAAAAACUCCGGUGGUACAGGAUGGACCCGCGUCUGAUUAGCUGGUUGGCGGGGUAACGGCCCACCAAGGCGACGAUCAGUAGCCGGCCUGAGAGGGUGAACGGCCACAUUGGGACUGAGACACGGCCCAAACUCCUACGGAAGGCAGCAG
rnacentral:rRNA from 1 species